UUCCCUGACAAGGAAUCGAACCUGGGCAAUGGCAGUGAAAGUGCCAAAUCCUAACCACUAGACCACCAGGGA
rnacentral:tRNA from 1 species